GCAUAUCAAUAAGCGGAGGAAAAGAAACCAACAGGGAUUGCCUCAGUAACGGCGAGUGAAGCGGCAACAGCUCAAAUUUGAAAUCUGGCCCCCAGGGUCCGAGUUGUAAUUUGUAGAGGAUGCUUUUGGUGAGGUGCCUUCCGAGUUCCCUGGAACGGGACGCCAUAGAGGGUGAGAGCCCCGUCUGGUUGGACACCGAGCCUCUGUAAAGCUCCUUCGACGAGUCGAGUAGUUUGGGAAUGCUGCUCUAAAUGGGAGGUAUAUGUCUUCUAAAGCUAAAUAUUGGCCAGAGACCGAUAGCGCACAAGUAGAGUGAUCGAAAGAUGAAAAGCACUUUGAAAAGAGGGUUAAAAAGUACGUGAAAUUGUUGAAAGGGAAGCGCUCAUGACCAGACUUGGGCUUGGCGAAUCAUCCAGCGUUCUCGCUGGUGCACUUCGCCUCGUUCAGGCCAGCAUCAGUUCGUCCCGGGGGAUAAAAGCUUCGGGAACGUGGCUGCUUCGGCAGUGUUAUAGCCCGCUGUAUAAUACCCUGGGGUGGACUGAGGUUCGCGCUCCGCAAGGAUGCUGGCGUAAUGGUCAUCAGCGACCCGUCUUGAAACACGGACCAAGGAGUCGUCUUCGUAUGCGAGUGUUCGGGUGUCAAACCCCUACGCGUAAUGAAAGUGAACGCAGGUGAGAGCUUCGGCGCAUCAUCGACCGAUCCUGAUGUUCUCGGAUGGAUUUGAGUAAGAGCAUACGGGGCCGGACCCGAAAGAAGGUGAACUAUGCCUGUAUAGGGUGAAGCCAGAGGAAACUCUGGUGGAGGCUCGCAGCGGUUCUGACGUGCAAAUCGAUCGUCAAAUAUGGG
rnacentral:rRNA from 1 species